CUACGGGACGCUCCAGGUAGGAAUAUUCUGCAAUGCGCGAAAGCGUGACAGAGCGAGCCAGAGUGUUUCUCUAUAAUUGAGAAACUUUUGCCAACUUUAAAAAUGCUGGCGAAUAAGGACCGGGCAAGACUGGUGCCAGCCGCCGCGGUAAUCCCAGCGGUCCAAGUCGCAACCACAAUUAUUGGGUCUAAAACAUCCGUAGCUUGUUUGUUAAGUCUCUUGUGAAAUUCUGCAUCUUAAGUGCAGAGCGUGCAAGAGAUACUGGUAAACUUGAGACCGGAAGACGUAAGGAGUACAAUCAAGGUAGUAGUAAAAUACGUUGAUCUUGGUUGGACUAACAACAGCGAAGGCACCUUACGAGUACGGAUCUGACAGUGAGGGAUGAAGGCUAGGGUCGCGAAAGGGAUUAGAUACCCCCGUAGUC
rnacentral:rRNA from 1 species